rnacentral:rRNA from 1 species
CCUACGGGCGGCAGCAGUGGGGAAUAUUGCGCAAUGGGCGAAAGCCUGACGCAGCGACGCCGCGUGAGGGAUGAAGGUCUUCGGAUCGUAAAACUCUGUCAGCAGGGAAGAACGGUCACUGUGCCAAUCAGCAGUGCAUCGACGGUAUCUGCAAAGGCAGCACCGGCGAACUCCGUGCCAGCAGCCGCGGUAAUACGGAGGGUGCGAGCGUUAAUCGGAAUUAGUGGGCGUAAAGCGCUCGUAGGCGGUAUGUCAAGUCAAGAGUGAAACUCCCGCGCUGAACGUGGGGACUGCCUUUGAAACUGGAAGGCUGGAGUGUGUGAGAGGUUAGUGGAAUUCCGGGUGUAGGAGUGAAAUCCGUAGAUAUCUGGAGGAACAUCAGUGGCGAAGGCGACUAACUGGAACGUAACUGACGCUGAGGAGCGAAAGCGUGGGUAGCAAACAGGAUUAGAUACCCCAGUAGUC